rnacentral:misc_RNA from 1 species
GAUGAAGAACGCAGCGAAAUGCGAUAAGUAAUGUGAAUUGCAGUAUUCAGUGAAUCAUCGAAUCUUUGAACGCACAUUGCGCCCCCUGGUAUUCCGGGGGGCAUGCCUGUCCGAGCGUCAUUACAACCCUCAAGCUCAGCUUGGUGUUGGGCCCCGCCGCCCCGGCGGGCCCUAAAGUCAGUGGCGGUGCCGUCCGGCUCCGAGCGUAGUAAUUCUUCUCGCUCUGGAGGUCCGGUCGUGUGCUCGCCAGCAACCCCCAAUUUUUUUCAGGUUGACCUCGGAUCAGGUAGGGAUACCCGCUGAACUUAAGCAUAUCAAUAAGCGGAGGA